rnacentral:lncRNA from 1 species
UUGUUGCCCCCAUCACAGUGGGCUUUGGGCCCCCGGGCCUGCCCCUUGGUUCUAAUGAUCAGGGAGGUCCUCCCUUAUGUGCCCACUGAACUUCCAGUCUCAGGCUGACUCACACAGGACACACUGUGAAAAGCUGGAGAGGAAAGGGCCCAAGUGACACAGUCACCCGAUGGCUCUCAGGGACCUGAGGGCCGGCAAAGGUAGAACAGGUGUCCACUAAGCCUGGAGCGUAGCCUCAAACCCACUGUGCCAACACACCCUGACUUCAGCCAUAGUCCCGUGCAUAUCCAAAGGUCUGAAGGAAACUUCGUGGGUCCCCAGUGAGGACGGAUGAGACCAGAAGUCCCAAUGAGCCCAGUGUGCCUUGUGUCCCUGGGGGAACCAGACCCGAUUGGACACGGACUGGAUUUUCAUGCGUAGGGGGCGGAGGAAAGGGAGGACAUUAAAUCUUUAAGUGGUUAAAGACACAAAACCCACAGGAAUGAUUUCUAAUGAACAGAAAAAG